rnacentral:rRNA from 1 species
UACGUAGGGGGCAAGCGUUGUCCGGAAUCAUUGGGCGUAAAGAGCGUGUAGGCGGUCCGGUAAGUCCGCUGUGAAAGUCGGGGGCUCAACCCUCGAAUGCCGGUGGAUACUGUCGGGCUAGAGUGCGGAAGAGGCGAGUGGAAUUCCUGGUGUAGCGGUGAAAUGCGCAGAUAUCAGGAAGAACACCCGUGGCGAAAGCGGCUCUCUGGGACGGUACUGACGCUGAGACGCGAAAGCGUGGGGAGCGAACAGG